UCACAUCUAUAAUAAAAACCUUCCUGUGAACCGUCCCUCGCAGCGCCCAUGCCCUCACUUUAUAUAUUGACUGUCUCACCAAGUAGGCUAGGCUGGCUGUGUAGUGAGCCCCAGGGAUCUGCCUGUCUCUACCUCUUAGUGAUGAGAUGGCUGGUGAUGGAUACUCCCAUCUUGGUUGGCCUCAAACCCGUGCUUACAAUGUCACUCAGGAGGAGUUGGAUCCUAGCCUCUGGUGUCUCUGGAAACCAUGACUUAGAUGACCAUACUGAUCUUCUAAAAAUAGACAAGUUAAAAAUG
rnacentral:lncRNA from 1 species